GACGAACGCUGGCGGCGUGCCUAAUACAUGCAAGUUGAGCGAUGAAGAUUGGUGCUUGCACCAAUUUGAAGAGCAGCUAACGGGUGAGUAACGCGUGGGGAAUCUGCCUUUGAGCGGGGGACAACAUUUGGAAACGAAUGCUAAUACCGCAUAACAACUUUAAACAUAAGUUUUAAGUUUGAAAGAUGCAAUUGCAUCACUCAAAGAUGAUCCCGCGUUGUAUUAGCUAGUUGGUGAGGUAAAGGCUCACCAAGGCGAUGAUACAUAGCCGACCUGAGAGGGUGAUCGGCCACAUUGGGACUGAGACACGGCCCAAACUCCUACGGGAGGCAGCAGUAGGGAAUCUUCGGCAAUGGACGAAAGUCUGACCGAGCAACGCCGCGUGAGUGAAGAAGGUUUUCGGAUCGUAAAACUCUGUUGGUAGAGAAGAACGUUGGUGAGAGUGGAAAGCUCAUCAAGUGACGGUAACUACCCAGAAAGGGACGGCUAACUACGUG
rnacentral:rRNA from 1 species